rnacentral:rRNA from 1 species
GACUAGAGUCUUGUAGAGGGGGGUAGAAUUUCAGGUGUAGCGGUGAAAUGCGUAGAGAUCUGAAGGAAUACCGGUGGCGAAGGCGGCCCCCUGGACAAAGACUGACGCUCAGAUGCGAAAGCGUGGGGAGCAAACAGGAUUAGAUACCCUGGUAGUCCACGCCGUAAACGAUGUCUACUCGGAAUUUGGUACCUU